UGAACUACAAUGUAUGAUAGUUGUGCUGGCA
rnacentral:piRNA from 1 species